rnacentral:lncRNA from 10 species
AUGCUCCUCUGCUGUUCUGGCUGCUACAUGAGUAGCUUUCACUGUACACUCCAUUGUCCCCCGUAACACAGGAAGGCAUCCUCCUGAGUUAGCAGUAACUGAAGGAUAAAGAUGAACAAACCACAAUUUCUUUCAUUCUCCCAACUCCUGGCUUUAGGGGCUGCUUUCUGGCUUUAAAAAUAUUGCACUGGAAUAGAACCAAGGAUCAAAUAUCUGGGACAUGAUAUCUUGAGUAAAACAGGAAAUGUCUGCUACAGAGACAAACUGAAGUUUGUGUAUAUCGUGCUGAUUCAGAAGAGAAUGAAGGCAUUUGUCAAGAGAUAAUGUCAGACUAAUCAGACAUGUUCCAAUCGAUUAAUGCAUUUGGAGGAUUUCCAAAUAUUUGCUGAUCUAAGGACGGUGAGGUAUAUGAUGGGAAACAAAUCUGAGAAAAGAAGGAUGGUAGAUGCUUUCCCAUUGUGACCUGUGAUCAUUUUGGCAAUCAGGACAAGAUGUGGAGGUGG